UACGUAGGGCGCAAGCGUUGUCCGGAAUUAUUGGGCGUAAAGAGCUCGUAGGCGGUCUGUUACGUCUGCUGUGAAAACCCGGGGCUUAACCCCGGGCUUGCAGUGGAUACGGGCAGACUAGAGGCAGGUAGGGGAGAAUGGAAUUCCCGGUGUAGCGGUGAAAUGCGCAGAUAUCGGGAGGAACACCGGUGGCGAAGGCGGUUCUCUGGGCCAGUACUGACGCUGAGGAGCGAAAGCGUGGGGAGCAAACAGG
rnacentral:rRNA from 1 species